GGCGCCGUAGCUCAGUUGGUUUAGAGCGCCUGUCUAGUAAAACAGGAGGUCAUGGGUUCAAAUCCCAUCGGUGCCU
rnacentral:tRNA from 1 species